rnacentral:rRNA from 1 species
AGCGAACGCUGGCGGCAGGCCUAACACAUGCAAGUCGAACGAAGUCUUCGGACUUAGUGGCGGACGGGUGAGUAACACGUGGGAACGUGCCUUUAGGUUCGGAAUAACUCAGGGAAACUUGUGCUAAUACCGAAUGUGCCCUUUGGGGGAAAGAUUUAUCGCCUUUAGAGCGGCCCGCGUCUGAUUAGCUAGUUGGUGAGGUAAAGGCUCACCAAGGCUACGAUCAGUAGCUGGUCUGAGAGGAUGACCAGCCACAUUGGGACUGAGACACGGCCCACACUCGUACGGGAAGCAGCAGUGGGGAAUCUUGCGCAAUGGGCGAAAGCCUGACGCAGCCAUGCCGCGUGGAUGAUGAAGGUCUUAGGAUUGUAAAAUCCUUUCACCGGUGAAGAUAAUGACUGUAGCCGGAGAAGAAGCCCCGGCUAACUUCGUGCCAGCAGCCGCGGUAACAC